rnacentral:rRNA from 1 species
AGUAGGGAAGAAGCGAGAGUGNCGGUACCUGCAGAAGAAGCGCNNGCUAACUACGUGCCAGCAGCCGCNGUAAUACGUAGGGCGCAAGCGUUGUNCNGAAUUAUUGGGCGUAAAGAGCUCGUAGGCGGUUUGUCGCGUCUGCUGUGAAAGCCCGGGGCUCAACCCCGGGUCUGCAGUGGGUACGGGCAGACUAGAGUGCAGUAGGGGAGACUGGAAUUCCUGGUGUAGCGGUGAAAUGCGCAGAUAUCAGGAGGAACACCGAUGGCGAAGGCAGGUCUCUGGGCUGUUACUGACGCUGAGGAGCGAAAGCAUGGGGAGCGAACAGGAUUAGAUACCCUGGUAGUCCAUGCCGUAAACGUUGGGCACUAGGUGUGGGGGACAUUCCACGUUUUCCGCGCCGUAGCUAACGCAUUAAGUGCCCCGCCUGGGGAGUACGGCCGCAAGGCUAAAACUCAAAGGAAUUGACGGGGGCCCGCACAAGCGGCGGAGCAUGCGGAUUAAUUCGAUGCAACGCGAAGAACCUUACCAAGGCUUGACAUUCACCGGACCGCCCCAGAGAUGGGGUUUCCCUUCGGGGCUGGUGGACAGGUGGUGCAUGGUUGUCGUCAGCUCGUGUCGUGAGAUGUUGGGUUAAGUCCCGCAACGAGCGCAACCCUCGUUCUAUGUUGCCAGCACGUGAUGGUGGGGACUCAUAGGAGACUGCCGGGGUCAACUCGGAGGAAGGUGGGGAUGACGUCAAAUCAUCAUGCCCCUUAUGUCUUGGGCUUCACGCAUGCUACAAUGGCCGGUACAAAGGGUUGCGAUACUGUGAGGUGGAGCUAAUCCCAAAAAGCCGGUCUCAGUUCGGAUUGAGGUCUGCAACUCGACCUCAUGAAGUCGGAGUCGCUAGUAAUCGCAGAUCAGCAACGCUGCGGUGAAUACGUUCCCGGGCCUGUACAC